UACGUAGGGCGCAAGCGUUAUCCGGAAUUAUUGGGCGUAAAGAGCUCGUAGGCGGUUUGUCGCGUCUGCCGUGAAAGUCCGGGGCUCAACUCCGGAUCUGCGGUGGGUACGGGCAGACUAGAGUGAUGUAGGGGAGACUGGAAUUCCUGGUGUAGCGGUGAAAUGCGCAGAUAUCAGGAGGAACACCGAUGGCGAAGGCGGUUCUCUGGGCCUUACCUGACGCUGAGGAGCGAAAGCGUGGGGAGCGAACAGG
rnacentral:rRNA from 1 species